rnacentral:rRNA from 1 species
UACGAAGGGUGUGAGCGUUGUUCGGAAUUACUGGGCGUAAAGCGCGCGUAGGCGGGUCUGUGUGUCGAUUGUGAAAGCCCUGGGCUUAACCUGGGAAUGGCAGUCGAAACUACAGAUCUUGAGUGCCUGAGAGGAUGGCGGAAUAACCGGUGUAGUAGUGAAAUACGUAGAUAUUGGGAAGAACACCGAUGGCGAAGGCAGCCAUCUGGACCGACACUGACGCUGAGGCGCGAAAGCGUGGGGAGCAAACAGG